GCCGUUCAAAUGUCAACUUACGGUGAGAUAAAUAAAAUGUUUAAGUGAACAAGGAACUAGAAACAUAUCGAGUAUUUCCUGAAAACCAUUUAGGUUUGAGGGGAGUGGUUCUCGAAACAGUAUAAUGGGUAUAGUCCAAGGCACUUCAGAUAAUACUGAAAGCAGUAAAACAAAUAUAAAUAUAAUAAGAAAGAAAAAAGAAAAUUUAUUCAAUGCA
rnacentral:lncRNA from 1 species